AUGGAUGACCAAGGACAAGGGAAUAUUGGUGAUAUAAAAGCAAAAUUGAAGUGUGGAGUCCAGUGUGAGGUGCAGCUGGUGGAGUCUGGGGGAGGCUUAGUGCAGCCUGGAAGGUCCCUGAAACUCUCCUGUGCAGCCUCAGGAUUCACUUUCAGUAACUAUUACAUGGCCUGGGUCUGCCAGGCUCCAAAGAAGGGUCUGGAGUGGGUCGCAACAAUUAGUCCUAGUGGUGGUAGCAAUUACUAUCGAGACUCCAUGAAGGGCCGAUUCACUAUCUCCAAAGAUAAUGCAAAAAGCACCCUAUACCUGCAAAUGGACACUUGGAGGUCUGAGGACACGGCCACUUAUUACUGUACAACAGACACAGUGAGUGAAUGUUACUGUGAGCUUAAACACAAACCUCUUGCAGGAUACUAG